CUCAUUCUGCCAGCCCUGGCAGCCGGCCCACUGCUUGUGCUUCAGGGGCCCUCCUUUGGAGACGUGCUCAGAGCCCUAUUUUAGGAGGACAGAAGUGGCCUAAAACAUGUGGCCAUUAAGCUAGAAUUUUAAAGGACACACACACACACACACACACACACACACACACACGGACACAGCAAGCUAUCUGGUAAGCUGGUGGUUAAGAAUCCGAAUGUGUGCUCAAGGCCCCUCUGACACAGGCAGCCUUAUCCACAGAACUUCAUCCCUGUGUUUUGGCCUGUUCCAGGAAGAGCCAGCAAAGUUGCCUGCAAGAGAGAGCACGUGGCCUGAGGGGUGAACCAGGGACAGCCUCUGAAGAGCGAAGGAUUUAUCUGAGCAGCCAAAUGUCCACUGACAGACAGGUCUGUGUGUGCUAGAGAAACUUGUUCCACAGCUCAGAUGAAAAACGUAUUGUGGAAUUCACCCACAAGGGGAAGUGAGUUAAUGACUGGGGCGUUUCAUCUUCUGCCUAGAUGCGUCAUAAAAUCAACUUGUAAAGCCUGGCUCAGAAAAUACAUUUACUCUCCCAGAUGUGGUUCCAUAUAGGGCUAUGAAACAUUUCAAAGAGUGAUCGCUCACAGAGGAGUGCGUUCUUAGGCUUUCUCUGUGCUGGGAGUGGGGCCGGUGGCCUGAGCCUGACAGCCCAUCCAGGCUGUGGUCAAAUUUGCUGACAAGCAGCCCAAAUCUGCCCAGAGCAUCUGCUCACAUCUGGGAUUGUGACUCAUCUGCCUCUGUCUCCCCCAGCACUAUUCACUCACUCCUGCAGGCCUGAGCAUGUAAGCCCCACGGUGCCCAGGGCCCAGCGCCCAGACUUGUCCCUCCACCCAAGCACCCAUCACGGCUUGUCCUUAUCUCCAACACUGCCUGCCCCUCCCAUUUAGACUUGGUCUGCUUUCCCAGCUCCAGGUUCAGGGCAAACCAUGCUUAGACCUUCUUGGACUCAGCCUGAGCUAUCAUAAGAGGUUCCCAGGCUAAAACACAUGCACAGUCUCCUGCACAGUGGUGUCUGUUCUGGCCCUUUAAAUUUAGCAGAUCCACACUCCCACCACGCCCAGCUGGCCCACCAGAGUGAGCCACAGGCAACACAUGUUCUAAACCAACCCUGUUCACCCUGGACCUACUAUUUUUGCACUCACCUCCCUGGUUCUCAGAUUUCUGGCUCCGGUUCCCAGCUGCCAUAGCCCCUUUGGUCCCUUCACUUUGGUGACCCUUUAGGCUUCCCUUUUUAGACCACAGCUGUCACAUGUUUCUGACUCAACUUGCUUCUGCCAUGCCAGCGUCACCCCUGGUCUCAGGUGAGUACCCCAUGAUUCAGGCCCAGACCCUGAAGACCCCCUCCCCUGAGAUCACUCCCAGAAGAGGCGGAGGGUGAGGGAUUUGUUCCUGGGGUCCCUGCCUGGCUUCUCACCUUCAGCCUUGCGUUGUCUUUCAAUUCCAGCACCUGGACUUCCCUGGUCAUGCACCCGGGCAUUGGCCUCAACUUAGGUCCUGAUCCUCGGAGUCCCUCACUCACCUGGGACAGCUCUGUCCCGAACUCAGUUUCUGAUUUCAUGCUGGUCUUGCCCCAGUUACACCAACCCACCCCCCUCCCUAUCUCAUUGAGGUCAGAGUGGAGGAGGCUCUCAGGCUUCUGAAGGGAGGGAGGCAACACUGCCUCAAAUGGAGCCCUGAUGGGGCUCAGAGCCUGUGGGGAGUCUCACAGCUACCUGGGAAUCUUUCUGUCCCUGGAGACAGCACAAGUCAAGGCACUUGAGGACUCUCAGUUGUGUGUAGGGAGGAGGAUGCUGCUCCAAAUAGCGCAGACAAGCAUUCAGUUCUAAAACCUCAGAGCUCAGAGCAGCUGAAGAGCAGAGGCAGCCCUCUGGUCCCACAUGGCUCACAUUCUCUUCCUUGUCCGCCUGACUCCAUGUGUGACUUUAGCAACAUGUCUGUCGAGGAUGUUCUACCCCUAGCCCCUGCACCAGCAAACAAAUAAGUCCUCCCAAGGCUCCCCAUGCCUGAUGUCUCCAUUCCCUCCACUCCAGAAGGAGCAGAAACAAGGGCCUGCUCCCCUCCUCCUCCUCUCCAGCCCUCAUCACUCCCUUCCCUGGGGGCCAAGGCACUCAAAAACCAUCUUCCCCUAAAAGCUCAGGGACUCACUUGGUUUUCUUUCCCAGAAGCCCUAAAGAUAGUAGCUUUGCUUAAUGAGAAUGCCCCAUGGUGAAAUGGUGAGGACCAAGACUCUGGUGCCUGGUCCACAGGGGAAUUCCAGCUCUGCCUCUUGCUAGUGAUGAGACCCUAGACAUGUGAUGGAACUUCUCUAUAGUGUUUCCUCAUCUCUGAGGUUGGAAAACUAAUGGUCCCCACCCCACUGCAUUGCUGUGAGCCAUAUACGCAUUAAUUAGUGUAAAAAUGGUGCCUCCAUGUAAUAAGUGCCGUGAUGCACAAGCUCUCAUUUAUUGAUUUUUCACUGUAUGUGAGGCCUUACUCUAAAUACCUUACAUCCAAUAAUUCGUUUUUCCUAAGCAAAGUGAAAUAGAGACAGAAGGAUCAUUUUAUAAUUCUAAUUUAAAUUAUCAUUAAUAUUUAUUGCAUAAGUUCCAUCAACAGGAGUUGAAAUGCA
rnacentral:lncRNA from 1 species